rnacentral:rRNA from 1 species
GACGAACGCUGGCGGCGUGCCUAAUACAUGCAAGUUGAGCGCUGAAGGUUGGUACUUGUACCAACUGGAUGAGCAGCGAACGGGUGAGUAACGCGUGGGGAAUCUGCCUUUGAGCGGGGGACAACAUUUGGAAACGAAUGCUAAUACCGCAUAAAAACUUUAAACACAAGUUUUAAGUUUGAAAGAUGCAAUUGCAUCACUCAAAGAUGAUCCCGCGUUGUAUUAGCUAGUUGGUGAGGUAAAGGCUCACCAAGGCGAUGAUACAUAGCCGACCUGAGAGGGUGAUCGGCCACAUUGGGACUGAGACACGGCCCAAACUCCUACGGGAGGCAGCAGUAGGGAAGCUUCGGCAAUGGACGAAAGUCUGAACGAGCAACGCCGCGUGAGUGAAGAAGGUUUUCGGAUCGUAAAACUCUGUUGGUAGAGAAGAACGUUGGUGAGAGUGGAAAGCUCAUCAAGUGACGGUAACUACCCAGAAAGGGACGGCUAACUACGUG